rnacentral:lncRNA from 10 species
CCAUCAUGGAAGUUGCUUGUGUUCAUUUUCCGUGUGUGGAAUGGUCUGACUUGGCCCAUCUACUUCCCUGUCUCUACAAAGGAAGGUCUACCUGGGACAACAAACUAGGCCCUUAAAACUUUUCAUGGUUUAAAAACGAAACAAAACAAAAACAACAUUUUAUGGUUGAUGACUCGAGCCCAAAACAGUUAACAAAAUCUGAACCACGAAUACCUUUUUAAUCUCAGGAGAAUAAUCAUCAUUUUCAUCAGUGUUUGACAGGACUCCUGUAAGACAAGAGCUUGGGCAUUGCUUCCUCAGCCUAACUUGCCUGGGCGGAAGGAGACAUGGCCAGAAGGUCUUACCAUUUGCCUUGUAUGUGGUACUCUUUCUGAGGUCUCCAACUCUCUUAAAAUCCUGUUCAAAAUGAUCAUGUGGACUGCAGUCUUGUGGACAGCAGGAAAUGGACCCGAAGUGUCCCUGCACAGAGGGUCCUAACCAUCUGUGCUUGCUGCACCUGCACCGUCAGCUACCCUCUCUGAGGCACACUUCUCCUUCUUCAAAUGCCUGCAGGGACCAGGGGGCAGCCCAGAAGUGAAGACAGAAGGGAGGACAGCAAGGGAAGCCCCAGCUCAAAGAAGU